CACUAGGGUGGGUGGAGCCCGAGAAGAGGCCACGGAAGGGAAGGUGAAGCGAGCUUGGGAGAAUCCUGAGUCCUAAAGAAGGCUGGACAGUGAUCCAUCAUUUUCUUCCCUCUCUGGUGCCGGUAAAUGGGAAGGAGCAAAUGGACUCCUCAUCGAACGGCCACAGGACACCAGCUGCAGUCCAGAAUGCCUGCUGCCAGCCUCCACGGCUGGCACAUCUGAGGUCUUCAAGUGGAUCUCCUCAUCAGAAGGCAGGACGAGGUCCUCAGGUUAGGUUCAUGAUAGAUCAAGGCUUCACACCAAGGUGUGGUGGUGGCGGCUAAAAUUUUCAAACAUACCUUGCUCUUGAGGCUAUCGGUAUGGGUGCCAAGGAAGCUCUAGGGCACAGAAGGGCCUUAUGAACUGAACAGGUCAGACAGCACCGAAAGCUCUCGGCCUGCCUCAGUGCCUGAGUGACACCACUAUUCAACCUCCUAGCUUACCUGCAAAGCCCUCCUCACCAUUCACCAGCAAAAACUGAAAGAUAGCUGCAACCCAGUGGCCUGGGGCUUGUGAACUCUCAAAAUGACAACUUAUACUAUGAAAUGGUUGAUUCUGCCUGCUUCCCUGUCCUCUGCUGGAGGACUCCCAUUUCCCGAUACCCUACAGCAACAGGGCUAGUUUGUGUCUUGGAGCAUCUAGUGUUAGUCUUGAGCAAAACUACAGAAACAGGCUGAGGGAGGUCUGGGGAGGGGGCACAUGAUGCUGUGGGAGAAGAAUCUCAGAAGGAAAGCCUGGUAAUGAAGAUGAGCUCCAAAUGAAGGCAUGGCAUUGGCUGGGCAGGAAUGGGCAAACAGAGAAAGCCUGCUUGGUCAGGAACAGUGGCUAGACAGUGCAGCCAACAAAGCAAGUCCGUUCCCUGUCCAGAGGAUGCUCCAGGGACAGCCCAUUGCCUCCAUUCAUAUAAUGUGUCUGUAACAACUAGGAAAUAUUCCCUUAUUGUCAUAGUUUGAAUAUGAUUGGCCCAGGGAGUGGCACUAUUUGGAGGUGUGGCCUUAUUGGAGUAGGUGUGUCACUGUGUACAUGGAUUUAAGACCCUUGCCCUAGCUUCCUGGAGGUGAGUAUUCUGCUAGCAGCCUUCAGAUGAAGAUGUAGAACUCUCAGCUCCUCCUGUAUCAUGCCUGACUGGAUGCUGCCAUGUUCCUGCCUUGGUGAUAACGGACUGAACUUCUGAACCUGUAAGCCAGCCCCAAUUAAAUGUUGUCCUUCUAAGAGU
ensembl:antisense Gm26647 predicted gene, 26647